rfam:Aspergillus versicolor CBS 583.65 unplaced genomic scaffold ASPVEscaffold_10, whole genome shotgun sequence.
UCCGACAUAGUGUAACGGCUAACAUAGCUGCCUUUCAUCAAAUGAAAGAUUGACCGCAGCAGCUCGGGGUUCGAUUCCCCGUGUCGGAG